UACGUAGGUGGCAAGCGUUGUCCGGAUUUACUGGGCGUAAAGCGUGCGCAGGCGGUUGUGCAAGACAGAUGUGAAAUCCCCGGGCUCAACCUGGGAACUGCAUUUGUGACUGCACGGCUGGAGUGUGGCAGAGGGAGGUGGAAUUCCACGUGUAGCAGUGAAAUGCGUAGAGAUGUGGAGGAACACCGAUGGCGAAGGCAGCCUCCUGGGCCAGCACUGACGCUCAUGCACGAAAGCGUGGGGAGCAAACAGG
rnacentral:rRNA from 1 species